GCCUGGGUGGCUCAGCCGGUUAAGCGUCCGACUUCCGCUCAGGUCGUGAUCUCACUCACGGUUCGUGGGUUCGAGCCCCGCAUCAGGCU
rnacentral:tRNA from 1 species